rnacentral:rRNA from 1 species
CGAUACGAGUUUGAUCAUGGCUCAGAACGAACGCUGGCGGCAGGCCUAACACAUGCAAGUCGAGCGCGCCCUUCGGGGUGAGCGGCGGACGGGUGAGUAACGCGUGGGAACGUGCCCUUUGCUACGGAAUAGUCUCGGGAAACUGGGGGUAAUACCGUAUGUGCCCUUCGGGGGAAAGAUUUAUCGGCAAAGGAUCGGCCCGCGUUGGAUUAGGUAGUUGGUGGGGUAAUGGCCCACCAAGCCGACGAUCCAUAGCUGGUUUGAGAGGAUGAUCAGCCACACUGGGACUGAGACACGGCCCAGACUCCUACGGGAGGCAGCAGUGGGGAAUCUUAGACAAUGGGCGCAAGCCUGAUCUAGCCAUGCCGCGUGAGCGAUGAAGGCCUUAGGGUUGUAAAGCUCUUUCGUGGGGGAAGAUAAUGACUGUACCCCAAGAAGAAGCCCCGGCUAACUCCGUG